rnacentral:rRNA from 1 species
UACAGAGGGGGCAAGCGUUAUUCGGAAUUAUUGGGCGUAAAGCGCGCGCAGGCGGUCCGGUAAGUCUCCGGUGAAAUCGCCCGGCUCAACUGGGCGGGUGCCGGGGAGACUGGCGGACUUGAGGAGCCUAGAGGCCGGUGGAACUCCCGGUGUAGUGGUGAAAUGCGUAGAGAUCGGGAAGAACACCAGUGGCGAAGGCGGCCGGCUGGGGGUGUCCUGACGCUGAGGCGCGAGAGCGUGGGGAGCAAACCGG